rnacentral:piRNA from 1 species
UGUCUUUGGGUAGGGAGCCUGUGUGUA